UACGGGGGGAGCAAGCGUUGUUCGGAUUUACUGGGCGUAAAGGGCGCGUAGGCGGCCACUGCAGGUCGGUUGUGAAAUCUCCGGGCUUAACCCGGAAAGGUCAAUCGAUACUGCAGGGCUAGAGUGCGGAAGGGGCAACUGGAAUUCUCGGUGUAGCGGUGAAAUGCGUAGAUAUCGAGAGGAACACCUGCGGCGAAGGCGGGUUGCUGGGCCGACACUGACGCUGACAGCGCGAAAGCUAGGGGAGCGAACGGG
rnacentral:rRNA from 1 species